rnacentral:lncRNA from 1 species
AAAUACUUAAAACAUAUUUUUUUCUAAAAAAUUAAAAUAUAUAAAUACAAAAAUCAAAUAUAAAAAAUAUAAAAACAUUACAAAUUAAAAAUAUAAUAAAAACCACAUAAAAAAGCAAGAAAAAAAUUAAACUCAACUCGAACUAUGGUGAAGUUUCAAUUGACGUUCGAACAUCGACGAGACCUUGACUGCACUUCAAAGUACAAUUAAGGCUUUUG